rnacentral:rRNA from 1 species
GGAUUGCCCUAGUAACGGCGAGUGAAGCGGCAACAGCUCAAAUUUGAAAUCUGGCUCUUUUAGAGUCCGAGUUGUAAUUUGCAGAGGGCGCUUUGGCGUUGGCAGCGGUCCAAGUUCUUUGGAACAGGACGUCACAGAGGGUGAGAAUCCCGUACGUGGUCGCUAGCCUUCGCCGUGUAAAGCCCCUUCGACGAGUCGAGUUGUUUGGGAAUGCAGCUCUAAAUGGGAGGUAAAUUUCUUCUAAAGCUAAAUACUGGCCAGAGACCGAUAGCGCACAAGUAGAGUGAUCGAAAGAUGAAAAGCACUUUGGAAAGAGAGUCAAAUAGCACGUGAAAUUGUUGAAAGGGAAGCGCUUGCAGCCAGACUUGCCUGUAGUUGCUUAUCCGGACUUUUGUCCGGUGCACUCUUCUGCGGGCAGGCCAGCAUCAGUCUAGGCGGUUGGAUAAAGGUCUCUGUCAUGUACCUCUCUUCGGGGAGGCCUUAUAGGGGAGACGACAUGCAACCAGCCUGGACUGAGGUCCGCGCAUCUGCUAGGAUGCUGGCGUAAUGGCUGUAAGCGGCCCGUCUUGAAACACGGACCAAGGAGUCUAACAUCUAUGCGAGUGUUUGGGUGUCAAGCCCAGACGCGUAAUGAAAGUGAACGGAGGUGGGAACCCUUUGGGUGCACCAUCGACCGAUCCUGAUGUCUUCGGAUGGAUUUGAGUAAGAGCAUGGCUGUUGGGACCCGAAAGAUGGUGAACUAUGCUUGAAUAGGGUGAAGCCAGAGGAAACUCUGGUGGAGGCUCGCAGCGGUUCUGACGUGCAAAUCGAUCGUCAAAUUUGG